CUAAGAAAUCCAUUAUACCUUGCACUAAAGUCUAUUUGUUAUAAUGAAGAGACUGCUAGUCCAAAAUUCAAAUGGCAAUUUAUUUAAUUCUCAAUUAACUUGAAAAUGGCAAACAUACAUUUCUACUUCCAAAAGAAAAACAUAAAAAAAAGAUAAUCAUAAGAAUGCCAAACUCUAAACUGUAAUAGUUCUACAUUUCUUUUCUGUAAUUUCGUAAAAUGUGGUUCUAU